CACAGAGUUAGCCGGUGCUUAUUCUGUCGGUAACGUCAAAACACUAACGUAUUAGGUUAAUGCCCUUCCUCCCAACUUAAAGUGCUUUACAAUCCGAAGACCUUCUUCACACACGCGGCAUGGCUGGAUCAGGCUUUCGCCCAUUGUCCAAUAUUCCCCA
rnacentral:rRNA from 1 species